GACGAACCGUGCGAACGUUGUUCGGAAUCAUUGGGCGUAAAGAGCGCGUAGGCGGCCAGAUAAGUCCGGUGUGAAAGUCACAGGCUCAACCUGUGAAUGCCGCUGGAAACUGUCUGGCUAGAGUCCGGAAGGGGCGAGUGGAAUUCCUGGUGUAGCGGUGAAAUGCGCAGAUAUCAGGAGGAACACCAAUGGCGAAGGCAGCUCGCUGGAACGGUACUGACGCUGAGACGCGAAAGCGUGGGGAGCGAACAGG
rnacentral:rRNA from 1 species